UACGGAGGGGGCUAGCGUUGUUCGGAAUGACUGGGCGUAAAGCGCGCGUAGGCGGAUCGUCAAGUCGGGGGUGAAAUCCCGGGGCUCAACCCCGGAAUGGCCUUCGAGACUGACGGUCUUGAGUUCGAGAGAGGUGGGUGGAAUUCCGAGUGUAGAGGUGAAAUUCGUAGAUAUUCGGAGGGACACCAGUGGCGAAGGCGGCCCACUGGCUCGACACUGACGCUGAGGCGCGAAAGCGUGGGGAGCAAACAGG
rnacentral:rRNA from 1 species